GUCUGCGUAUAUAUAUACCAGUCUGGCUACAAGUCUACCAGAAUAUUAUUUGCAUCAUUGACUAAGUCUGUCUAGAUAUGUCGUCUGGUGGAUUUGCUUAUCUCUUAAAUUCUGAAGAUGAUGAUAUUCCUCGUAGUAAAAUCGUUAUUACAAUGUACCAGUACUUUAGUCUAUCAGUUUCCAUCUCCAUGCAAGACUCGGGGUCUGAUGAAGGUUCUA
rnacentral:lncRNA from 1 species